AUAAUGGAGAUUUUACUGUCAAAAGACCGAAAUAACCAAAAUUUGUCCAUUUCCACAGUUACUGGGGAAUAUUUAGAACAUGAGAGACCCACAAGCAUAUUUACAUGAAAGGUGUUGUUUAUAUAGACAAAAAUGAGGGCAAUUAUUUAGUUAAUUCUUGGAUGUGGUCUAUAUGCAGGUCCAAAAACUAUCUGUAAUUUGACCAAAAUCUAUGUAUUGUAUUUUUCAUGAAAACAUCUAGAAACCCUUGACUGUGACGUACAACUGGUUUUUAUGAUGCAAUGGACUGGAAACUACUAUUUAAUUUUUCAUUACCUCAACUUAAAAACAGACAAAAAUAGAAAUCUUUAAUAAACAGCUCAUAUAAGAAUGGUAAGCAAUUUCCAUCACUAGUCAUUGUCGUCAUCCUUGCUUCCUUAUCUUUUCACAUUUUCAUCUUUUCUGAAACCUCUUGGCAAGUUUUAGAUUAUUUGGCAUGAAUCCUCAAUGGAAGAUUCUCUUCAAACAAUCCUCUUUUGGUAUUUAUUGGUUCAAAAACAUGACCACCUGAGGCAAUCGUUGAUUGAGAUUGGCCAAUUUUCAAAAAUCUUCUUCUGAAAUCACCAGGCAACAUGUCUUGGCACUUUACAGGAUUGAUUUUUAUACGACCGCAAAGCGGUCAUAUAUUGGAAUGUCGUCGUCCAAAGACACAUUGGUUUUUCGCACUCUAACUUUAGUUUAAGUGAAUGGAUCUCUAUGAAAUUUUACCAUAAGGUUCAAUACCACAAAAGGAAGGUUGGGAUUGAUUAUUGGGAUUAUGGUACCAACAGUUAAGGAGUUAAGGGCCAAAAAUAAGCAUUUUUGGAACUUCCAGACAUAACUUGUGUGUUAGUGUAUUGAUCUCUCUGACAUUGUUCCACAAGGUUCCAUAUCACAAAGGGAACGCUGGGAUUGAUUUUGGGGGUAAUCGCCUCCAAAUUGUAGGAAUUAGGGGCCAAAAAACAAGAAUUUUUCUAGUUUCAUGACAAUAACUUGUGUGUUAGUGUAUGGAUCUUUCUGAAAUUGUACUACAAGGUUCAAUAUCACAAAGGAAAAGCUGGAAUUGAGUUUGGGGGUAAUUGCCCAAAACAUUUAGGAAUAAGGGGCCAAAAAUAAGCAUUUUUCUAGUUUCCAGACAAUAACUUGUGUUCAAGUGUAUGGAUCUCUCUGAAAUUGUACUGCAAGGUACCAUACCACAAAGGGAAGGCUGGGAUUGAUAUUGGGGGUAAUUGCCUCAAAAUUUUAGGAAUUAGGGGCCAAAAAAGUGCAAAAAACAAGCAUUUUUCUAGUUUCAGGACAAUAACUUGUGUGUAAGGGUAUGGAUCUUUAUGAAAUUGUACUACAAGGUUCCAUAUCACAAAGGGAAAGCUGGAAUUGAGUUUGGCGGUAAUUGCCCAAAACAUUUAGGAAUAAGGGGCCAAAAAUAAUCAUUUUUCUAGUUUCCAGACAAUAACUUGUGUUCAAGUGUAUAGAUCUCUCUGAAAUUGUACUGCAAGGUACCAUACCACAAAGGGAAGGCUGGGAUUGAUUUUGGGGGUAAUUGCCUCAAAAUUUUAGGAAUUAGGGGCAAAAAAGGGGAAAAAAAACAAGCAUUUUUCUAGUUUCAGGACAAUAACUUGUGUGUAAGUGUAUUGAUCUUUAUGAAAUUGUACUACAAGGUUCCAUAUCACAAAGGGAAAGCUGGGUUUGAGUUUGGGGGUAAUUGCCCUUAAUGUUUAGGAAUUUGGGGCCAAAAAACAAGCAUUAUUCUAGUUUCCAGACAAUAACUUGUGUUCAAGUGUACGGAUCUCUCUGAAAUUGUACUGCAAGGUACCAUACCACAAAGGAAAGGCUGGGAUUGAUUUUGGGGGUAAUUGCCUCAAAAUUUUAGGAAUUAGGGGCAAAAAAGGGGCAAAAAAACAAGCAUUUUUCUAGUUUCAGGACAAUAACUUGUGUGUAAGUGAAUGGAUCUUUCUGAAAUUGUACUACAAGGUUCCAUAUCACAAAGGGAAAGCUGGGUUUGAGUUUGGGGGUAAUUGCCCUAAACGUUUAGGAAUUUGGGGCCAAAAAACAAACAUUUUUCUAGUUUCCAGACAAUAACUUGUGUUCAAGUGUACGGAUCUCUCUGAAAUUGUACUGCAAGGUACCAUACCACAAAGGGAAGGCUGGGAUUGAUUUUGGGGGUAAUUUCCUCAAAAUUUUAGGAAUUAGGGGCAAAAAAGGGGCAAAAAAACAAGCAUUUUUCUAGUUUCAGGACAAUAACUUGUGUGUAAGUGUAUUGAUCUUUAUGAAAUUGUACUACAAGGUUCCAUAUCACAAAGGGAAAGCUGGGUUUGAGUUUGGGGGUAAUUGCCCUUAAUGUUUAGGAAUUUGGGGCCAAAAAACAAGCAUUAUUCUAGUUUCCAGACAAUAACUUGUGUUCAAGUGUACGGAUCUCUCUGAAAUUGUACUGCAAGGUACCAUACCACAAAGGGAAGGCUGUGAUUGAUUUUGGGGGUAAUUGCCUCAAAAUUUUAGGAAUUAGGGGCAAAAAAGGGGCAAAAAAACAAGCAUUUUUCUAGUUUCAGGACAAUAACUUGUGUGUAAGUGUAUGGAUCUUUCUGAAAUUGUACUGCAAGGUACCAUACCACAAAGGGAAAGCUGGAAUUGAGUUUGGGGGUAAUUGCCCAAAACGUUUAGGAAUAAGGGGCCAAAAAUAAGCAUUUUUCUAGUUUCCAGACAAUAACUUGUGUUCAAGUGUAUAGAUCUCUCUGAAAUUGUACUGCAAGGUACCAUACCACAAAGGGAAGACUGGGAUUGAUUUUGGGGGUAAUUGCCUCAAAAUUUUAGGAAUUAGGGGCCAAAAAGGGGCAAAAAAAACAAGCAUUUUUCUAGUUUCAGGACAAUAACUUGUGUGUAAGUGUAUUGAUCUUUAUGAAAUUGUACUACAAGGUUCCAUAUCACAAAGGGAAAGCUGGGUUUGAGUUUGGGGGUAAUUGCCCUAAAUGUUUAGGAAUUUGGGGCCAAAAAACAAGCAUUAUUCUAGUUUCCAGACAAUAACUUGUGUUCAAGUGUACGGAUCUCUCUGAAAUUGUACUGCAAGGUACCAUACCACAAAGGAAAGGCUGGGAUUGAUUUUGGGGGUAAUUGCCUCAAAAUUUUAGGAAUUAGGGGCAAAAAAGGGGCAAAAAAACAAGCAUUUUUCUAGUUUCAGGACAAUAACUUGUGUGUAAGUGAAUGGAUCUUUCUGAAAUUGUACUACAAGGUUCCAUAUCACAAAGGGAAAGCUGGGUUUGAGUUUGGGGGUAAUUGCCCUAAACGUUUAGGAAUUUGGGGCCAAAAAACAAACAUUUUUCUAGUUUCCAGACAAUAACUUGUGUUCAAGUGUACGGAUCUCUCUGAAAUUGUACUGCAAGGUACCAUACCACAAAGGGAAGGCUGGGAUUGAGUUUGGGGGUGAUGAAUCAUAAGGGGGUUCAAAAAAUUUGAGGGGGGAUUUUUUUUC